rnacentral:rRNA from 1 species
AGACCCGAAACCCGGUGAUCUAGCCAUGGGCAGGUUGAAGGUUGGGUAACACUAACUGGAGGACCGAACCGACUAAUGUUGAAAAAUUAGCGGAUGACCUGUGGCUGGGGGUGAAAGGCCAAUCAAACCGGGAGAUAGCUGGUUCUCCCCGAAAGCUAUUUAGGUAGCGCCUCGUGAAUUCAUCUCCGGGGGUAGAGCACUGUUUCGGCUAGGGGGCCAUCCCGGCUUACCAACCCGAUGCAAACUGCGAAUACCGGAGAAUGUUAUCACGGGAGACACACGGCGGGUGCUAACGUCCGUCGUGAAGAGGGAAACAACCCAGACCGCCAGCUAAGGUCCCAAAGUCAUGGUUAAGUGGGAAACGAUGUGGGAAGGCCCAGACAGCCAGGAUGUUGGCUUAGAAGCAGCCAUCAUUUAAAGAAAGCGUAAUAGCUCACUGGUCGAGUCGGCCUGCGCGGAAGAUGUAACGGGGCUAAACUAUGCACCGAAGCUGCGGCAGCGACACUAUGUGUUGUUGGGUAGGGGAGCGUUCUGUAAGCCUGUGAAGGUGUGUCGUGAGGCAUGCUGGAGGUAUCAGAAGUGCGAAUGCUGACAUAAGUAACGAUAAAGCGGGUGAAAAGCCCGCUCGCCGGAAGACCAAGGGUUCCUGUCCAACGUUAAUCGGGGCAGGGUGAGUCGACCCCUAAGGCGAGGCCGAAAGGCGUAGUCGAUGGGAAACGGGUUAAUAUUCCCGUACUUGGUGUUACUGCGAAGGGGGGACGGAGAAGGCUAUGUUGGCCGGGCGACGGUUGUCCCGGUUUAAGCGUGUAGGUGUGUGUUCCAGGUAAAUCCGGUUCACUUUAACACUGAGGCGUGACGACGAGGCACUACGGUGCUGAAGCAACAAAUGCCCUGCUUCCAGGAAAAGCCUCUAAGCAUCAGGUAACAUCAAAUCGUACCCCAAACCGACACAGGUGGUCAGGUAGAGAAUACCAAGGCGCUUGAGAGAACUCGGGUGAAGGAACUAGGCAAAAUGGUGCCGUAACUUCGGGAGAAGGCACGCUGACACGUAGGUGAAGUGAUUUACUCAUGGAGCUGAAGUCAGUCGAAGAUACCAGCUGGCUGCAACUGUUUAUUAAAAACACAGCACUGUGCAAACACGAAAGUGGACGUAUACGGUGUGACGCCUGCCCGGUGCCGGAAGGUUAAUUGAUGGGGUCAGCGCAAGCGAAGCUCCUGAUCGAAGCCCCGGUAAACGGCGGCCGUAACUAUAACGGUCCUAAGGUAGCGAAAUUCCUUGUCGGGUAAGUUCCGACCUGCACGAAUGGCGUAAUGAUGGCCAGGCUGUCUCCACCCGAGACUCAGUGAAAUUGAACUCGCUGUGAAGAUGCAGUGUACCCGCGGCAAGACGGAAAGACCCCGUGAACCUUUACUAUAGCUUGACACUGAACAUUGAGCCUUGAUGUGUAGGAUAGGUGGGAGGCUUUGAAGUGUGGACGCCAGUCUGCAUGGAGCCGACCUUGAAAUACCACCCUUUAAUGUUUGAUGUUCUAACGUGGACCCGUGAUCCGGGUUGCGGACAGUGUCUGGUGGGUAGUUUGACUGGGGCGGUCUCCUCCUAAAGAGUAACGGAGGAGCACGAAGGUUGGCUAAUCCUGGUCGGACAUCAGGAGGUUAGUGCAAUGGCAUAAGCCAGCUUGACUGCGAGCGUGACGGCGCGAGCAGGUGCGAAAGCAGGUCAUAGUGAUCCGGUGGUUCUGAAUGGAAGGGCCAUCGCUCAACGGAUAAAAGGUACUCCGGGGAUAACAGGCUGAUACCGCCCAAGAGUUCAUAUCGACGGCGGUGUUUGGCACCUCGAUGUCGGCUCAUCACAUCCUGGGGCUGAAGUAGGUCCCAAGGGUAUGGCUGUUCGCCAUUUAAAGUGGUACGCGAGCUGGGUUUAGAACGUCGUGAGACAGUUCGGUCCCUAUCUGCCGUGGGCGCUGGAGAACUGAGGGGGGCUGCUCCUAGUACGAGAGGACCGGAGUGGACGCAUCACUGGUGUUCGGGUUGUCAUGCCAAUGGCACUGCCCGGUAGCUAAAUGCGGAAGAGAUAAGUGCUGAAAGCAUCUAAGCACGAAACUUGCCCCGAG